rnacentral:rRNA from 1 species
CACGUAGGGCGCAAGCGUUGUCCGGAAUUAUUGGGCGUAAAGAGCUCGUAGGCGGUCUGUUGCGUCUGCUGUGAAAACUCGGGGCUUAACCCCGAGCCUGCAGUGGAUACGGGCAGACUAGAGGUAGGUAGGGGAGAAUGGAAUUCCCGGUGUAGAGGUGAAAUUCGUAGAUAUCGGGAGGAACACCAGCGGCGAAGGCGACCGCCUGGACGGCUACUGACGCUGAGACGCGAAAGCGUGGGGAGCAAACAGG